rnacentral:rRNA from 1 species
GAUGAACGCUGGCGGCGUGCCUAAUACAUGCAAGUCGAGCGAACGGACGAGUAGCUUGCUUCUCUGAUGUUAGCGGCGGACGGGUGAGUAACACGUGGAUAACCUACCUAUAAGACUGGGAUAACUUCGGGAAACCGGAGCUAAUACCGGAUAACAUUUUGAACCGCAUGGUUCAAAAGUUAAAGACGGUCUUGCUGUCACUUAUAGAUGUAUCCGCGCUGUAUUAGCUGGUUGGUAAGGUAACGGCUUACCAAGGCAACGAUGCAUAGCCGACCUGCGAGGGUGAUGGGCCACACUGGAACUGAGACGCGGUACAGACUCCGACGGGAGGCAGCAGUAGGGAAUCUUGCGAGAUGGGCGAAAGCCUGAAGGAGCAACGCAGCGUGAGUGAUGAAGGGCUUCGGAUCGUAAAACUCUGUUAUUAGGGAAGAACAUAUGUGUAAGUAACUGUGCACAUCUUGACGGUACCUAAUCAGAAAGCCACGGCUAACUACGUG